rnacentral:rRNA from 1 species
AUGAACGCUGGCGGCGUGCCUAAUACCUGCAAGUCGAGCGAACGGACGAGAAGCUUGCUUCUCUGAUGUUAGCGGCGGACGGGGGAGUAACACGUGGAUAACCUACCUAUAAGACUGGGAUAACUUCGGGAAACCGUAGCUAAUACCGGAUAAUAUUUUGAACCGCAUGGUUCAAAAGUGAAAGACGGUCUUGCUGUCACUUAUAGAUGGAUCCGCGCUGCAUUAGCUAGUUGGUAAGGUAACGGCUUACCAAGGCAACGAUGCAUAGCCGACCUGAGAGGGUGAUCGGCCACACUGGAACUGAGACACGGUCCAGACUCCUACGGGAGGCAGCAGUAGGGAAUCUUCCGCAAUGGGCGAAAGCCUGACGGAGCAACGCCGCGUGAGUGAUGAAGGUCUUCGGAUCGUAAAACUCUGUUAUUAGGGAAGAACAUAUGUGUAAGUAACUGUGCACAUCUUGACGGUACCUAAUCAGAAAGCCACGGCUAACUACGUG